ensembl:lncRNA
CUCCAGAUCCACAAUGACUCUUGACCCACCCACCCACUCCUGUUCAUCACCAUUGAAAGGCAUCGGCAGAACAUUCAGCAGGCAUGCGCCUACGUCAGCUGCUGCUAUCGUCCUGGAAAGGGACAUGCUCCAGUCUGCCAGGGCAUGCCCCUCUCAUGCCCACGUCAAAUCCUGGUCUGGGUGAGACCCACCCCUGAAUCUGGGUGCCAUAUGGGUGAGUCACCAUUGGUUUUGCCUCCAGUUCUGUCAAUAACAGAGUCGGACUGCUUGAGCUGUAGUGUACGACUAGAAAUGACCUGAUCCUCUGAGCUGGCCCUGCAGCCAACCUCCUGGGCCACUAUCUCCUGUCCAUGAGACUCUGGCAAGUGCCAUCAAAGACCUGACAUCCUCGAACACCACUGGUCCUCAACCUAGGAAGCUCCAGAGACUUUCUGCAGGGCUGUCUGAGGCCCAGUCCCCAAGAAAGGAGUGGCUGCUGCACUGAUCCUCUGAGGUGGUUCAGGGCCCUCAGCCAGCAAGCUCCUGCAGGCGACCCUGGGUAAACUGAGUCCUGUACAGGUUCACCUUCAUAUCUGCAAGGCCUAGAAACCUGAAUGUUUACACAAACUCUCCAGAUUUUUAAGUGUCAGUCAACAAUUAAACAUCAGGCCAAAUAAAAAUAUCACUUUGAGGAAAACUGAAAGUCUAGGCGACUCUGCUGCACCCUGGAUCCUAUGUGUGAUAUCUGUAACUAGAGAAUAUAUGCAAUUUUCCUACUCAACAUGCACUGAAUAUUUUCCGUGUUUGUGUAAUCUGCUAAAAGCUAUUUGCAACAAUUAUAUAACACUUGGAACAUGUUGGGAUUUGCCUUUCAUUUUACUCCCUGGUAGAUGCCAAGCUUGUUGGGUGGAGUCUCAGAUACACCCCCGCCUGGUUCAUUGUUUCAGUGCCCCCAGGACAAGCCGCAUAGAAAUAGCAAAUGUGCUUCAGCCUCUAGGGCUUCAGAGCCCUCAGGAUGCCAGUGUUGGGGAGACCAUCAUCACCCCAGCUCCUCAUCUUUCAGUAUCAGUCGAGGAGAUGUCAUAUCUUGUCUAAGAUGGCAGUGCAGAUGGAAGGCUACUCCGUUAGGGUGAACUGAUAGAAAUGAAAUAUGUAUGUAUGUAUGUAUGUGCCUGUGUGCAUGCGUGUGUUUAUGUCAAUAACAGCUCUGUUUUUUCAAAUAAAAGAUUUGCUUUUAUGUAUAUGUGUAAAUGGAUAUUUCUUUCCUGUCUGCCAGUUCCCAAAUUACUGACUCAGAGGCUGAAUAUAAAUUAUAAAUACUUGGUUAAUAACUCAGUGUUAUGAUACGGUGCUAGAGGAACCUUGGCGGGUUGGGUCCAAACCAUGAGGAUAAGCGACAAACAUGCCAUGCAGAUAGAGCUUACAUGGGGAGUUUAUUGGGGGAAGGGAAGAGAGAGAGAGGAGAGAGAAAGGGAAGGCAGAGCAGUCUUUUGGGAAGAGAGAGAGAGAAAGGGAGAGAGACAGAAGUGAAGAGAGGCAGAGAGCUAGAGAGAGAGAAGAGAAAGGGAGAAAGAGAGAGCUGCAGACAGGCAGUCUGAGAAAGAGAGAGAGAGAGAGAGAGAGAGGUGGGGGAGAAAGAGGAAGAGGAAGAAGGGGGAGUAGGGAAUUCUGCCCUUUAAAGGAAUAGGGAGCAGCGCAUAUACACAGCGACCUCAUAGCAGGCCAAGGUACUGCCUGCCACUCAC